UACGUAGGGUGCAAGCGUUGUCCGGAAUUAUUGGGCGUAAAGAGCUCGUAGGUGGCCUGUCGCGUCGGCUGUGAAAACUCGGGGCUCAACUCCGAGCUUGCAGUCGAUACGGGCAGGCUAGAGUUCGGCAGGGGGAGACUGGAAUUCCUGGUGUAGCGGUGAAGUGCGCAGAUAUCAGGAGGAACACCGGUGGCGAAGGCGGUUCUCUGGGCAUGUCCUGACGCUGAGGAGCGAAAGUGUGGGGAGCGAACAGG
rnacentral:rRNA from 1 species